AUAUAACUAUAUGUAUCGGUAUUAUGUUUGAGAUUGACAUAUGUCAAUACUCAAACACACCUUCAAUUAAAAAUGUCGAUACUACAAAUUUGAAUUUAGUGCAUUAACUGACUGCAUAUACUUACGCAGUCAAUGACUACGAAUUUUAGUAUUAAAAAUUAAAAUUUUCGAAUUUGAAAUAUGGACUGUCUGAUAGCUCUUAUAGUUACUGCAGGGAACGAAUCCUCCAAACUAUUGCUAUUAGCAAGGAAACUAUACCUUAUUAUGCAGGAUACCAAAUAAUGCAAGAUCAACAGCUUUAUCAACAUCAGCAUCAUCAAAAACUAAGACAGGUGACUUGCCUCCUAAUUCAAGUGAGACCGACUUCAAAUUACUCAUCGCAGCCGCUUGCAUUACUUUGCGACCGGUUUCGGUUGAACCUGUAAAACUUAUCUGUAAAAUAAUAUAGUUAAAGCAAAACUUAGUAGUUUGCAUGAAAUGUAAUGCAUUUUCAACUUAAUCAUUGGUAUAAAAUGUUUUGAGACCAAAUUACCGCAUCAA